UACAGAGGGUGCAAGCGUUAAUCGGAAUUACUGGGCGUAAAGCGUGCGUAGACGGUUGCGUAAGUCAGAUGUGAAAGCCCCGGGCUCAACCUGGGAAUUGCAUUUGAGACUGCGUAGCUAGGGUGCGGAAGAGGGAAGCGGAAUUUCCGGUGUAGCGGUGAAAUGCGUAGAUAUCGGAAGGAACACCUAUGGCGAAGGCAGCUCUCUGGUACGUGACUGACGCUGAGACGCGAAAGCGUGGGGGAGCGAAACAGG
rnacentral:rRNA from 1 species